rnacentral:rRNA from 1 species
AGGACGAACGCUGGCGGCGUGCUUAACACAUGCAAGUCGAGCGGAAAGGCCCUUCGGGGUACUCGAGCGGCGAACGGGUGAGUAACACGUGAGCAAUCUGCCCUUAGCUUCGGGAUAGCCCCGGGAAACCGGGAUUAAUACCGAAUAUGACCUCGGCCGACAUCGGCUUUGGUGGAAAGUUUUUCGGCUAGGGAUGAACUCGCGGCCUAUCAGCUUGUUGGUGGGGUAAUGGCCUACCAAGGCGACGACGGGUAGCCGGCCUGAGAGGGCGACCGGCCACACUGGGACUGAGACACGGCCCAGACUCCUACGGGAGGCAGCAGUGGGAAUAUUGCGCAAUGGGCGAAAGCCUGACGCAGCGACGCCGCGUGGGGGAUGAAGGCCUUCGGGUUGUAAACCCCUUUCAGCAGGACGAAGCGAGAGUGACGGUACCUGCAGAAGAAGCGCCGGCUAACUACGCGCCAGCAGCCGC